CCCUCAAAUCACCCAAAGUGCAAGGUGCCUAUGGAGCAAAAACUGCAGGUGGAAAACUUACAUAUGGUUAUGGCGGCUUUAAUGUUGCACCUGGACUGCCAGGAGUGCAAGGUGGCCCUGGGUCGAAGCCAGGAUAUCCUGUUGGAACUGGAGUGGGACUUGGGGUCAUUUCACCUGGUCAGGGUGGUACUGGAGGCUUUG